ensembl:snoRNA small nucleolar RNA, H/ACA box 4
CUACCAAAAGAUAAUUCUUGGGGAGGUUUUUUAGUAACCUUUGCCAGCUUGAACUUUUUGGGAGAAAAAAAGCUGAAGACCACACUCCACAGUGGCUAUAUCACUCAGCAUAUAGCUUGCUACUAACUUGUGGCCUACAUU